rnacentral:rRNA from 1 species
UGGGGAAUAUUGCGCAAUGGGGGAAACCCUGACGCAGCAACGCCGCGUGAAGGAUGAAGGUUUUCGGAUUGUAAACUUCUUUGAUGAGGGACGAACACAAUGACGGUACCUCAAAAACAAGCCACGGCUAACUACGUGCCAGCAGCCGCGGUAAUACGUAGGUGGCGAGCGUUGUCCGGAAUUACUGGGUGUAAAGGGCGUGUAGGCGGGAAAGCAAGUCAGAUGUGAAAUACCGGGGCUUAACUCCGGGGCUGCAUCUGAAACUGUUUUUCUUGAGUGUCGGAGAGGAAAGCGGAAUUCCUAGUGUAGCGGUGAAAUGCAUAGAUAUCACGAGGAACUCCGAUUGCGAAGGCAGCUUACUAAGCUACUACUGACGCUCAGGCACGAAGGCGUGGGGAUCAAACAGG